UAGAAGCAUAGGAAGGGAUCCC
rnacentral:piRNA from 1 species